GGGGGGGGGGGGGGUAUCAAAUAGUUGGUCGGCAAAUUCUCGGCAAAACAUGAAUUGGAUAGGAAGGAACGAAAUUAAAAUGGUUGAGUAAAAUUGGCCAAAUGUAGGGAAAUAAUAAGGAAAAAGAUAACGAGAAGCGGUCCGUGUAUUGGAAACAUUGGGAAAGUAGGAAUGUUCGGGGAAAAGUUUUCACACGCUUUCCGGAAAAAAAUUUUCAGAGUGUCCCACCGCCUUGCCUGUCUCGUCUAUCCCGGAUGAAUAUAUAAUUCUCAAUUUCCAUUUCCCAAUCGGCGACUUCGCUUUUUAAAUGCAUUUAAACAUAAUAUAACUUUAGUAGGAUACGUAAUAAUAAUACGGUUCUCAUUUUUUUUUUUCAAAGAUUUAUCAUAAAACAACUCAAAAAUAAAAUAUUUGUCUUGCAUAUUUUGCGAGAUAUAGCCAUUCGAAAUCGUUAAGAUUGCGAAAAUAGGUUGACUAGAAUACAUUUUCUAUAUUUUAAUUUGAACGAACAGUUAGUGCAAACGUUAACGUCACGGCCUGCCGUUCUGACUUUCACGGUUCGAAUCCCAUUCGUGUCGUUUCGUUGAUUUUGUUUUUCAUUUUUUUUUUCUUUAUUGAGAAUGCGUUUAUAUGUUCCUUUUACAAUCCUAUAUGUCUUUUAAAUGUUUUUGGACAAGAUUUCCCCAAUACAAAAUUGUGCGACGGCUACUUUGCUCUAUUAACAUUCGUUACCAGUUCCCCAAGUGUAUAUAUGUAUAUAUGUAUAUAUGUAUAUAUGUAUAUAUGUAUAUAUUAAAUUAUAAUUUUUACAAAAUUUUACAGUGUUCUCCGGAUUGCAAUG